rnacentral:rRNA from 1 species
AUUGAACGCUGGCGGCAGGCCUAACACAUGCAAGUCGAGCGAGCGGCGGACGGGGGAGUAAUGUCUGGGAAACUGCCUGCUGGGGGGGGAUAACUCCUGGAAACGGUAGCUAAUACAGCAUACCAUCAGAUUUGCCCAGAUGGGAUUAGCUAGUAGGUGGGGUAACGGCUCACCUCGGCGACGAUCCCUAGCUGGUCUGAGAGGAUGACCAGCCACACUGGAACUGAGACACGGUCCAGGCUCCUACGGGAGGCAGCAGUGGGGAAUAUUGCACAAUGGGCGCAAGCCUGAUGCAGCCAUGCCGCGUGUGUGAAGAAGGCCUUCGGGUUGUAAAGCACUUUCAGCGGGGAGGCGUUACCCGCAGAAGAAGCACCGGCUAACUCCGUGCCAGCAGCCGCGGUAAUUC